UACGUUUCUUCAAAAAUAGUAUCUCCCUGAUUUGCAUUAAUCCCAUUGCCAUCACCAAUCGUCUCUGCCCCAAAUCUGUAAUACGACCCAGAAUCGGCACCAAACCCAUCAAUCCAUCACUGGUAUCCCGCAAUUCUUCGUGCUGCUCUAAUAACUCAAGGCGUGAUUCAAAACCCUAGUUCAAACCAUCCUUUUCAGUGCUACCCAAAUCAAUCACCUUCCUGACACUCUCCGAAACCCUCUGUUUUACAAGUCAAAUU
rnacentral:lncRNA from 1 species